rnacentral:rRNA from 1 species
UACGUAGGGACCAAGCGUUGUUCGGAUUUACUGGGCGUAAAGGGCGCGUAGGCGGCAAUUCAAGUCAUCUGUGAAAUCUCCGGGCUUAACUCGGAACGGUCAGAUGAUACUGCUUUGCUAGAGUGCGGAAGGGGCAAUCGGAAUUCUCGGUGUAGCGGUGAAAUGCGUAGAUAUCGAGAGGAACACCUGAGGUGAAGACGGGUUGCUGGGCCGACACUGACGCUGAAGCGCGAAAGCGUGGGGAGCGAACCGG